CCUACGGGUGGCAGCAGUGAGGAAUAUUGGUCAAUGGGCGGAAGCCUGAACCAGCCAAGUCGCGUGAGGGAAUAAGGCCCUACGGGUCGUAAACCUCUUUUGUCGGGGAGCAAGGGCCGGGACGAGUCCCGGUCCGGAGAGUACCCGGAGAAAAAGCAUCGGCUAACUCCGUGCCAGCAGCCGCGGUAAUACGGAGGAUGCGAGCGUUAUCGGGAUUUAUUGGGUUUAAAGGGUGCGUAGGGGGGCUUUUAAGUCAGCGGUAAAAAUUCGGGGCUCAACCCCGUCCGGCCGUUGAAACUGGGAGCCUUGAGUGGGCGAGAGGAAGGCGGAAUGCGUGGUGUAGCGGUGAAAUGCAUAGAUAUCACGCAGAACCCCGAUUGCGAAGGCAGCCUUCCGGCGCCCUACUGACGCUGAGGCACGAAAGUGCGGGGAUCGAACAGGAUUAGAUACCCCUGUAGUC
rnacentral:rRNA from 1 species